rnacentral:snRNA from 1 species
AUCGCUCCUCGGCCUUUUGGCCAAGGUCAAGCGUAGUAUCUGUUCGUAGCAGUUCGAAGCGGCAUCGGCGGCUUCGCUCA